rnacentral:misc_RNA from 1 species
UACGGAGGGUGCAAGCGUUAAUCGGAAUUACUGGGCGUAAAGCGCAUGCGGGUGGUGUGUUAAGUCGGAUGUGAAAGCCCGGGGCUCAGCCUCGGAAUAGCAUUUGAAACUGGCAGACUAGAGUACUGUAGAGGGGGGUAGAAUUUCAGGUGUAGCGGUGAAAUGCGUAGAGAUCUGAAGGAAUACCGGUGGCGAAGGCGGCCCCCUGGACAGAUACUGACACUCAGAUGCGAAAGCGUGGGGAGCAAACAGG